rnacentral:rRNA from 1 species
UACGUAGGCAGCAAGCGUUGUUCGGAGUUUACUGGGCGUGAAAGGGUGUGUAGGCGGUUGGAUAAGUGUGGUGUGAAAUCUCCCGGCUCAACUGGGAGGGUGCGCUACAAACUGUCUGACUAGAGUGCGGGAUGGGAAAGUGGAAUUCCUGGUGUAGCGGUGAAAUGCGUAGAUAUCAGGAGGAACACCGGUGGUGUAGACGGCUUUCUGGACCGUAACUGACGCUGAUACACGAAAGCGUGGGUAGCAAACAGG